UACGUAGGGGGCGAGCGUUGUCCGGAUUUAUUGGGCGUAAAACGCUUGUAGGUGGCUACGUCAAGUCGGACGUGAAAUCUCCCGGCUUAACUGGGAGGGGUCGCUCGAUACUGGCGAGCUCGAGGCAGGUAGGGGGAAGCGGAAUUCCCGGUGUAGUGGUGGAAUGCGUAGAUAUCGGGAGGAACACCAGUGGCGAAGGCGGCUUCCUGGACCUGUUCUGACA
rnacentral:rRNA from 1 species